CCCCGCAUCACGGUGCCGCCCCGCAUCAAGGUGCCGCCCGGUAUCGGCAUCAAGGUGCCGCCAACUCCGAAGAAGUCGCCCCCUAAAUAUGCCCCCGGAAUAGUGAAGAAAGCCUAUUGCUCGUACAUAUGCGAAAAGUGUUGUAAAACAAAGGCGUGCACCGGUUUCUGCGAAAAUUGCUGCGAGAAUCAUAGAAUCUGCUCUUGUAACAACAACUAGAAGAUCCAGCAAGGCGGAUCUAAGUGCCCUUUGAUUUAAGUAAUCAAGUUCCUUUUGUGUCUACUUUGUGUGUGUUUUCGUCUCAACAAUUUACUUUCUUGUUUCUGUUUCUCAUGAUUUAAGUGUACCUGUUUAUGUAUCUCAUUACUGUCAUCAUCAGAUUUGUUGUUCAUGUUGUGUUAGAUCACAACUUCUUUGACAAAUCAAUAAAAUUCCACUUCCAAUUUCAUCAUAA